rnacentral:rRNA from 1 species
GUGGGGAAUCUUGCGCAAUGGGCGAAAGCCUGACGCAGCCAUGCCGCGUGAAUGAUGAAGGUCUUAGGAUUGUAAAAUUCUUUCACCGGGGACGAUAAUGACGGUACCCGGAGAAGAAGCUCCGGCUAACUUCGUGCCAGCAGCCGCGGUAAUACGAAGGGGGCUAGCGUUGCUCGGAAUUACUGGGCGUAAAGGGCGCGUAGGCGGACAUUUAAGUCAGGGGUGAAAUCCCGGGGCUCAACCUCGGAACUGCCUUUGAUACUGGGUGUCUUGAGUAUGAGAGAGGUGUGUGGAACUCCGAGUGUAGAGGUGAAAUUCGUAGAUAUUCGGAAGAACACCAGUGGCGAAGGCGACUCACUGGCCCGUUACUGACGCUGAGGCGCGAAAGCGUGGGGAGCAAACAGGAUUAGAAACCCCUGUAGUCC